UUUUUAUAGUUUAAAAUAAAACAUUGGUCUUGUAAACCAAAAAUAAUCUUUUCGUUUAAAAACU
rnacentral:tRNA from 1 species